AGAGAAGGGUGUCCCAGAUGUAGGCAAAGCGUCCUCCAUGUGUUCCUGGAGGACCGUCCCAAGUCCUUCUCCAUUCUCCCAACCUCUUGGGCCUGGUCCCAUUCCAGGUCUUGCCCAAGUCUUUCUGAUUGGUGGGACUUAAAUCACACCCAAAAUUCCAGCUGCAGGAGAGCUCUGAGAUUUCAUCUUUCCAACCUCUGUGUGCUACGUGGGGGUUGGAGCACUUGCUGACAAGCCUUGCAACCACCAUUGACAGGAUGUCCUCCACCUUUUCAAUCUGAUUUGCUCUUUGCCAUGCAGACCUGUGGAUGAAGAGCCAGAGUCCUCCAAGGUGAAGCUGGACUGAAUAUUUCUGUCCAUAAGACUAUUAGAAUCCCCCAAAGUGGGAUACCAGUGAGGACCUCACCAGCAGCUGCUGUCUCUCCAAUGCAGAGCUUCCUGCCUCCUGCCCAGCCCCUGCUGUCAGAGAUACUUGGUGCUUCCAGUUCUGGAGACUUCCUUGAGUUCUGUGACUCAAAACAACUUCCUUCCCCUGUGGGCAUCAACAAUGAGAGAUCUUCAGAUGCGAUCAGGCACUCCAGUCCUUCCAUCUCCCACAAUGUUGGAGACCUGUGUUCCCUGCUGUAGAAACCUCUGCCAUUCCCUUUAUCUCUGAAGACAGAUGGACUUGACUGUCAGCUUAGCUUGGUUUCAGGAGGAAAGGAAGAUAAACCCCUGUGUUUAAGCUGCCGUGUUAAAUGGGAGGCACCUGGUCUUUUUUCUUUUUCUUUUUUAAAGACUGGGUCUCGCUCUGUUAUCCAAGCUGCAGUGCAGUGAUGUGAUCAUAGCUCACCUCAGCCUUGAACUCUCAGGCUCAAGCGAUCCUCCAGCCUCAGCCUCCUGAAUUGCUGGGAUUAUAGCACCUGGCCAAUUUUAAAAUCUUUCUGUAGCGACAGGAUCUCACUAUGUUGCCCAGGCUGGUCUUGAACCCCUGGCCUCAAGGAAUUCUCCCACAACCUCCCAAAGUGCUAAGAUUACAGGCAAGAGCCAUGGUGCCCAGCCACCUCUGGUCUUCCCUCAGUUUGCUUUCAUUAAAGGACAAACACAUGCCUUGCAAAA
rnacentral:lncRNA from 1 species